rnacentral:sRNA from 1 species
CCUUUAUGAUAUCAUUGUCUAGGCACAAGGAGGUGUAUUUCCUUUAUGACAUCAUUGUCUAGGCACAAGGAGGUGUAUUUCCUUUAUGACAUCAUUGUCUAGGCACAAGGAGGUGUAUUUCCUUUAGGGUAUCAUUGUCUAGGCACAAGGAGGUGUAUUUCCUUUAGGGUAUCAUUGUCUAGGCACAAGGAGGUGUAUUUCCUUUAGGGUAUCAUUGUCUAGGCACAAGGAGGUGUAUUUCCUUUAUGAUAUCAUUGUCUAGGCACAAGGAGGUGUAUUUCCUUUAUGAUAUAAUUGUCUAGGCACAAGGAGGUGUAUUUCCUUUAUGACAUCAUUGUCUAGGCACAAGGAGGUGUAUUUCCUUUAGGGUAUCAUUGUCUAGGCACAAGGAGGUGUAUUUCCUUUAUGAUAUCAUUGUCUA